rnacentral:lncRNA from 1 species
ACCUUUCACCAUAACCACGAGCUCGGCGUACGUUAUGCUAAUGCGCGCCGAGAGGAUGAGAGAGACGGGUUUUAAUUUUUUUGGAGAUGUGACUUUUCAUGAGCACAUCUUUCCUUUCUUAAAAUCUUUUGUUCUCUCAUUUCCAGGCAUACCAUCUCCUUUUAUUCCUGGACAUUUCUUUGAUGAUUCAUGUUCUCCCUUAU